GGUAGUCCACGCUGUAAACGUUGGGCGCUAGGUGUGGGGGGCCUCUCCGGUUUCCUGUGCCGUAGCUAACGCAUUAAGCGCCCCGCCUGGGGAGUACGGCCGCAAGGCUAAAACUCAAAGGAAUUGACGGGGGCCCGCACAAGCGGCGGAGCAUGCGGAUUAAUUCGAUGCAACGCGAAGAACCUUACCUGGGUUUGACAUCAUCGGUAAUCCGGGCAGAGAUGUCGGGGUCCUUCGGGGGCCGGUGACAGGUGGUGCAUGGCUGUCGUCAGGCUCGUGUCGUGAGAUGUUGGGUUAAG
rnacentral:rRNA from 1 species